rnacentral:rRNA from 1 species
GACGAACGCUGGCGGCGUGCCUAAUACAUGCAAGUCGAACGCAGUGGGGACGGGUGAGUAACACGUGGGUAACCUCCCAUCAGAGGGGAUAACACUUGGAAACAGGUGCUAAACCGAUACUGAUGGAUGGACCCGCGGUGCAUUAGCUAGUUGGUGAGGUAAAGGCUCACCAAGGCCACGAUGCAUAGCGGGCCGGAGAGGGGGAGCGGCCACAAGGGGACGGAGACACGGCCCAGACUCCGACGGGAGGCAGCAGUAGGGAAUGUGGGGCAAUGGAGGAAAGUCUGACCGAGCAAGGCCGCGGGAGUGAAGAAGGUUUUCGGAUGGUAAAACUCUGUGGUUAGAGAAGCGGUAUCUAACCAGAAAGCCACGGCUAACUACGUGCCAGCAGCCGCGGUAAUAC